rnacentral:rRNA from 1 species
AUCAGUGGCGAACGGGUGAGUAACACGUGGGCAACCUGCCCUCAGCUCUGGGAUAACUCCAAGAAAUUGGGGCUAAUACUGGAUAUGACUGCUGACCGCAUGGUCUGGUGGUGGAAAGAUUUAUCGGCUGGGGAUGGGCCCGCGGCCUAUCAGCUUGUUGGUGGGGUAGUGGCCUACCAAGGCGACGACGGGUAGCCGGCCUGAGAGGGUGACCGGCCACACUGGGACUGAGACACGGCCCAGACUCCUACGGGAGGCAGCAGUGGGGAAUAUUGCGCAAUGGGCGGAAGCCUGACGCAGCGACGCCGCGUGGGGGAUGACGGCCUUCGGGUUGUAAACCUCUUUCAGCAGGGACGAAGCGGAAGUGACGGUACCUGCAGAAGAAGCACCGGCCAACUACGUGCCAGCAGCCGCGGUAAUACGUAGGGUGCAAGCGUUGUCCGGAAUUAUUGGGCGUAAAGAGCUCGUAGGCGGUUUGUUGCGUCGGCUGUGAAAUCCCGAGGCUCAACCUCGGGUCUGCAGUCGAUACGAGCAAACUAGAGUGUUGCAGGGGAGACUGGAAUUCCUGGUGUAGCGGUGAAAUGCGCAGAUAUCAGGAGGAACACCGGUGGCGAAGGCGGGUCUCUGGGCAACAACUGAC